rnacentral:rRNA from 1 species
UAGGGAAUCUUCCACAAUGGACGCAAGUCUGAUGGAGCAACGCCGCGUGAGUGAAGAAGGUUUUCGGAUCGUAAAGCUCUGUUGUUGGUGAAGAAGGAUAGAGGCAGUAACUGGUCUUUAUUUGACGGUAAUCAACCAGAAAGUCACGGCUAACUACGUGCCAGCAGCCGCGGUAAUACGUAGGUGGCAAGCGUUGUCCGGAUUUAUUGGGCGUAAAGCGAGCGCAGGCGGAAUGAUAAGUCUGAUGUGAAAGCCCACGGCUCAACCGUGGAACUGCAUCGGAAACUGUCAUUCUUGAGUGCAGAAGAGGAGAGUGGAACUCCAUGUGUAGCGGUGGAAUGCGUAGAUAUAUGGAAGAACACCAGUGGCGAAGGCGGCUCUCUGGUCUGCAACUGACGCUGAGGCUCGAAAGCAUGGGUAGCGAACAGGAUUAGAUACCCUGGUAGUCC